rnacentral:tRNA from 1 species
GCCGAAGUGGCGGAAUUGGCAGACGCGCUAGGCUCAGGACCUAGUGGACCUAACACGUCCUUCCGGGUUCGAGUCCCGGCUUCGGCA